AACGAACGCUGGCGGCAGGCCUAACACAUGCAAGUCGAACGCUCCAGCAAUGGAGAGUGGCAGACGGGUGAGUAACGCGUGGGAACCUUCCCUAUGGUUCGGAAUAGCCCAGGGAAAUUUGGGGUAAUACCGAAUAAGCCCUUCGGGGGAAAGAUUUAUCGCCAUUGGAUGGGCCCGCGUCGGAUUAGCUAGUUGGUGGGGUAACGGCCUACCAAGGCGACGAUCCGUAGCUGGUCUGAGAGGAUGAUAAGCCACACUGGGACUGAGACACGGCCCAGACUCCUACGGGAGGCAGCAGUGGGGAAUAUUGGACAAUGGGCGCAAGCCUGAUCCAGCCAUGCCGCGUGAGUGACGAAGGCCUUAGGGUUGUAAAGCUCUUUUGGCGGGGAAGAUAAUGACGGUACCCGCAGAAUAAGCUCCGGCUAACUUCGUGCCAGCCGCCGCAGUAAAAC
rnacentral:rRNA from 1 species